GUGAGUAGAGCUGACUGGCCGCAGUUCAGCCACACAUGGACUCAUCACUGAAGCUGCUUCCACCCAGGCAGCCCGAGCAGCAGCUGUGACCGGCACCCUGUGGCCCGCACGGCCAGAAGUGUUUGCCAUCUGGCCCCCCGCAGACAUGGUCUGCUGCCUGUGGUGGAGAUCACUCUGGAGGCGGCUGUCAUCGGCCACUCCUGGGAGCCCUCUCCUACCCUCAGUCCUCCAUCCCUGGAGCAGUUAGCCCCAUACCUGGGCCAUGCUGGGGCGGGCCCUGUGCCCAGGACGGAUCUCAUGCCUUCUCAUUUCUCUCCCCUGGUGAUUUCUCCAAGCCAGUGGAAUCCUGAAGGGCUUCGACCCACUUCUCAACCUUGUGCUGGACGGCACCAUUGAGUACAUGCGAGACCCUGACGACCAGUACAAGCUCACGGAGGACACCCGGCAGCUGGGCCUCGUGGUGUGCCGGGGCACAUCCGUGGUGCUGAUCUGCCCGCAGGACGGCAUGGAGGCCAUCCCCAACCCCUUCAUCCAGCAGCAGGACACCUAGCCUGGCCAGGGGUGCAGAGGGUGCAGGGCAGGCCCGAGCAGCUCCGUUUCCCGCGGACUUGGCUGCUGCAACGGAAGCAUUUUCCUUUUUGUAUAGGUUGAAUUUUUGUUUUCUUAAUAAAAUUGCAAACCUCAA
rnacentral:sRNA from 1 species